rnacentral:lncRNA from 10 species
GCAUGUUAGGUGUUGUGCUAGGUGCUGGACUCAAAAGGUGGAAAAACAUGUCCUUAUCUUCUAGAGGCUUGUGGCCUAGGGAUAUGGGGAAACAACUGCAAAUUCAGCUCUAUAGGAACUAUAGCUGUGUGUAGAGUGGGGACCACAUAAAGAGGCAGUGUUGAACUCUGCCUUGGAUAUAAAGAGGGGUUCAUGGAUGUCAGAGAAAGCCUCCAUUCUUGUUUCAUCCAAUUCCUAAUUAGCUGGGAAACUUUGGGCAAAUCUUUUAGCUGCUCUGAGUCUCAUUUCUCUGAUUUACAGAAUGAGGAGGCAGACUAAAGCAACUCAAAGAUUUGCUGAACUCACCGUGAGGUGGAACCGAAGUGGGCUCAGGUGCUUUCUGUGACGUAAGUCAAGAUUCCGACUUUGUUACAGAUUUAUCAUUAUUCCUUGAAAAAAAUUCAGCUAUGGUUGACUUCACUUCCUCAAUAUCUCAUACUGAGCUAAUUUCGAGCUAAUUUCCAGUUUCAAUAAACUUUGAUAAUGAAAUAUCUUCUGCCACACGUGGAUAAACUUGUCUUGCAGAGUCCCUCAUCCACCUGCUAGGUCUUGCUCAGAGAUUUUUGGCAGUAAAGAGACUGGCAGGAGGCUUCCCACAGGGCCUUUAAUAUCUGCAGUUUCUUCUCCUGGAAACUUCGCAGCCAUCUUUCAUGAAUCUAAAAAUGUUAGGGAAGCAGGCAAGACGAUGAAUUGAAUGUGUUGGUGUGUUUCUGUCAUCCUUCAGAGCCAGGAAUGGUUGAAUGUUCAUUUCCUCAGCCACGUGCUAGGAAAAGUUUUGGUUUUAGUAUGUUUCAGAAAUCCCCUGGCAGAUAUUGACACAAACAUUAUGGUAAAAGAGAGUCACUAAUAUUUUCCAUGCCAAAUGUCUUAAACCCCUGAGCCUCUAGAUUUAUGUGUCCCUGUCAGUGUUUGCGUCCAACCAUGAGCAGAUGGUUUACUCGUGUCCAUUUCUGGGGCUGGAGAGAGACCAGAGACCAAGAGCUUUGGGCCUCCUCUGAUGGGUUCUGUGAACCCCUAACGAUGUCAGGACCCAAUCUAUAUCAGAAAUGGUAGAUAUUAGCUCUUUAAACUGAAUGAAAGCACAAAAUGGCUCUUAUAAAACAUUUGCGUUGCUUUACAGAGAAAUUCCUUUUUCAUAGUCUGGUAAAACUUAAUGCUGAAAUAAUGCAAUGUUAAAAAAUCCUCCUUUAAAAAUCUGGAGGACUAUGCAUAAUAACAAACCCCAAAAUUCAACCAGUCUUGGACUAGUGCCCAGAGAGCUGCACAAACACAAUAAUACUUGCUCCUGCCUCCUGCCAUUUCCCCUAAGUUAGCUAAAACAGAGCUGUUGUAGGAAAGUGUAGAAACACUCGGCUGUUUACUGGUCCCACUUACUGGGAGUAACAUGGAGAGUGGAGCCUCCUCUCUCACCCACAGAAAGUUCUAGGAAAUAAGCCUUCCAGCCAAUGAUUCUAUCAUUUUUAGAAUAUUAUAAUACUUUAAUAGAAAUCCCAUUUAAACAUAUGGUAUAUAGAGUAUCCCUGAAGAUAAUGUUUUAUACUGUCAAAGAGACUGUCUUCUUUUUUUCCUUUCUCCCUCCCUCUUUUUAACUUCUUUCCUUUUCAAUCUUUUCCCUUUUCCUUCCCCCACUUCCUUCCUUCCUUCCUUC